AUGGCUCUGGGGUAGAUGAGGGGUCAGCUCAGAUACGCAGACGCAUCCAAGGUCAUAUGGGCAGGCAGGGAGUAUGCUCCCAAGCUUCCUGUCUCUGAAGUGCUUGUGACUUUGACCGUGGUGCCCUUUAGCUCUGGUGAUCUUGGCCAGUCUCCCAGCAUGUUCCUGCUCUCCAGUUGUCUAAAGAUGGCAGACACCAUUAUAACUGAAGACCAUUUGCUGUUCUCCCCUGAAGCUAGAGAUGUGUUCAGAGACUGCCUGGGUUCUCGGAUGAAAAUGACUGAAUAGCUAGCCAUAACCAACACACAAUGGCCACAACAUGCAGGUCCAGUCAGGCCAGCCGCCUUACACUCUUUGCCAUCAGGACUUCCUCCGCCGUGACACCCUGGAACUGUGACCCAAAAUAUACCUUAACCCUUCUUACGUUGUUUCCAAAAAAUGUUUUUUUCACGGCGUCUAGCCAGGGCAAUAUUUCAGAGGGAACCUCCCCACCAAAGCACCGCAGUUGUUUACAGUUGCCAGGCCCAACCGAGGCGGGAAGUUACAUGCCCCGGACAGGAAUGCAAGCACUUCAGGAGGCUCUGGAAACCAUCUUGGAGGCCUCAAGAUGCUGGUGCUUGCUGUGUCUCUAGGGGUCUUGCAACAUCUUCAUGUACCUGAGGACAGGAGAAGGCUAAAGGGAUGUAUUUGAGUCAUAGCUGUUGCAUUUAGGACAAAUAAAGGCUCACUGGGAUGUUGAAAGAAAAAGGCGGAAUGGAGUCCCCAGCCCAGCCAAGGCAGCGUGCACCGUUGAGCCAGGCCAGCUGUGCCAGGCAAUAAUUCAUCCUGGUUAAGUGGCAGCUUGCCUCCA